UUGAACUGAAGAUCUGAAAUACUUUGGUUCAGAAGGUUAAACUACUUCUCUUUUUGAGUGUAACUGAUAAUUUUACAGAGCUCUACUUCUAGAUAGCUGUGUGUAUGUGUGUGUGUGUGUGUGUGUGUGUGUGUGCAGGCCACCUAUUCAGA